UGCCGCGUGAGUGAAGAAGGCCUUCGGGUUGAAAGCUCUUUCGGCCGGGAGGAAAUCGCAUCAGUUAAUACCUGGUGUGGAUGACAGUACCGGAAUAAGAAGCACCGGCUAACUACGUGCCAGCAGCCGCGGUAAUACGUAGGGUGCGAGCGUUAAUCGGAAUUACUGGGCGUAAAGCGUGCGCAGGCGGUUUUUUAAGACAGGCGUGAAAUCCCCGGGCUCAACCUGGGAACUGCGCUUGUGACUGGAAGGCUAGAGUAUGGCAGAGGGGGGUGGAAUUCCACGUGUAGCAGUGAAAUGCGUAGAGAUGUGGAGGAACACCGAUGGCGAAGGCAGCCCCCUGGGCCAAUACUGACGCUCAUGCACGAAAGCGUGGGGAGCAAACAGGAUUAGAUACCCUGGUAGUCCACGCCCUAAACGAUGUCAACUAGGUGUUGGGUGGGUAAAACCAUUUAGUACCGGAGCUAACGCGUGAAG
rnacentral:rRNA from 1 species